rnacentral:rRNA from 1 species
AUUGAACGCUGGCGGCAUGCCUUACACAUGCAAGUCGAACGGCAGCGGACCUUCGGGUGCCGGCGAGUGGCGAACGGGUGAGUAAUAUAUCGGAACGUACCUUUCAGUGGGGGAUAACGUAGCGAAAGUUACGCUAAUACCGCAUAUUCUGUGAGCAGGAAAGCAGGGGAUCGCAAGACCUUGCGCUGAUUGAGCGGCCGAUAUCAGAUUAGCUAGUUGGUGAGGUAAAGGCUCACCAAGGCGACGAUCUGUAGCGGGUCUGAGAGGAUGAUCCGCCACACUGGAACUGAGACACGGUCCAGACUCCUACGGGAGGCAGCAGUGGGGGAAUUUUGGACAAUGGGCGGCAAGACCUGAUCCAGCCAUGCCGCCGUGAGUGAAGAAGGA